AAGAAUCUUCAAAUCACUCAAGAGACGCAGUGUACAAUGGGAACAUGUGGGAAUAGCGUGAAUGCUGGUGAGGCAUGCUGAGUCUGAAGAGAGGUUGGCAAAGACUGCAUAUCAGUGAUUGACUUGUAAGGUAUAAGUUUCUCUGAUCACUAUGAAAUUGAUCUCUAAAGAUGAUUCUUCACUACAAAAUGACCAAUCUCUUGAAGUGUGAGCUGCGAGUCUACUGCAGUGCAGCUGGCUCAGAGCGAUUCAUGUGGAGAUCCUGGAGAAGAUCGCUACUUCUCAUCUAUGCAUCAUUGAGAUUUACUAAGAUGAGAAGGAUCUCAUGCAGCCAAGACUGGACUCAGACUCACUAGAUUACCGAGAAUGCCCUUGAGCCUGGGUCCUCUUACCUCCAUCUUCUGAAUGGAAGAAGGCAUGUGAUUCCUGAUGUAAGAAAAAUGGAUUUUAUCGUUCAGGAGAGGAAGCAGCAUGACCGCUAUGUGUAUGUUGUUUUAUGAUGUUGCUGGAGUCCAAAAAGGAACGCGCAGGGGACGCUGAACAUUACAAACAGUACCUGGUCCUGGGGAUCCUAA